AACGAACGCUGGCGGCGCGCCUAAUACAUGCAAGUCGAGCGAGAAGACGUAGCAAUACGUUUGUAAAGCGGCGAACGGGUGAGGAAUACAUGGGUAACCUACCCUCGAGUGGGGAAUAACUAGCCGAAAGGUUAGCUAAUACCGCGUACGCUCCUUGGACUUCGGUUCAGGGAGGAAAGCGAUACCGUGGGUAUCGCGCUCUUGGAUGGGCUCAUGUCCUAUCAGCUUGUUGGUGAGGAACGGCUCACCAAGGCUUCGACGGGUAGCUGGUCUGAGAGGACGAUCAGCCACACUGGCACUGCGACACGGGCCAGACUCCUACGGGAGGCAGCAGUAAGGAAUAUUGCGCAAUGGGCGAAAGCCUGACGCAGCGACGCCGCGUGGGGGAUGAAGGUCUUCGGAUUGUAAACCCCUUUCGGGAGGGAAGAUGGAACGAGCAAUCGUUCGGACGGUACCUCCAGAAGCAGCCACGGCUAACUUCGUGCCA
rnacentral:rRNA from 1 species